ACCAAACCCACUUUCUGCAGUUCCUGGGUUUUCCAUGGAAGUCUCCCAAUCUAAUGACUAACCAUGCUGAGGUAUCUUAUUUUCUGUGUCCUCCUGCUCUUCCUGGUGAAGACUGAUUUAGCAGAUGUACCUGAAGAAGACAAGAAGAAAGGCAGUAAAAUAACAAGGCAGGACAGCUUCUGAUUGGGGCUAUCUUGGGACGAUCAAGAAGUGACACGCAUUUCCAUCCUUCUCUUGUCGGACUUGUGGAUAGAAAUCUUCAUCUUGGAGGGACGGCAAAAGGCACAACCCUGAACCAGUGUGACCUCCCUGCUAAAUUACAAGUCCCUGCUCCGAAGCAUUGAGGCACUAGAGCUUCUCAAUGAAACAGUGGUAAGAAUUUUUAACAUGGGC